rnacentral:rRNA from 1 species
UACGUAGGAUGCAAGCGGUGUCCGGAUUUAUUGGGUUUAAAGGGUGCGUAGGGGUCCUAUUAAGUUAGUGGUGAAAACGUUCGGCUUAACCGAAUACCCGCCAUUGAUACUGAUAGACUUGAGUGCGACAGAGGGUGUUGGAAUGUGUGGUGUAGCGGUGAAAUGCUUAGAUAUCACGCAGAACACCAAUUGCGAAGGCAGAGGCCUAUGUCGUAACUGACGCUGAGGCACGAAAGCGUGGGGAGCAAACAGG